GGGGUCGCGUCCUAUCAGCUUGACGGCGGGGUAACGGCCCACCGUGGCUUCGACGGGUAGCCGGCCUGAGAGGGCGACCGGCCACAUUGGGACUGAGAUACGGCCCAGACUCAUACGGGAGGCAGCAGUGGGGAAUACUGCACAAUGGGCGCAAGCCUGAUGCAGCGACGCCGCGUGAGGGAUGGAGGCCUUCGGGUUGUAAACCUCUUCUAUCGGGGAGCAAGCGAGAGUGAGUUUACCCGCCGAAUAAGCACCGGCUAACUACGUGCCAGCAGCCGCGGUAAUACGUAGGGUGCAAGCGUUAUCCGGAAUUAUUGGGCGUAAAGGGCUCGUAGGCGGUUCGUCGCGUCCGGUGUGAAAGUCCAUCGCUUAACGGUGGAUCCGCGCCGGGUACGGGCGGG
rnacentral:rRNA from 1 species